CGUGAUACCAUGGUGACCGGACUGAACAACUUACGUGCCUAUCUUCCCUGGCUGGUCACUUGCCGCUGUAGUAUCAUUACUACCCAAGGAGCAUCUGACACAGCAUGCCCACCAGCCACACCUGCUUCCCUUCCAUUUGUGUUUCCACCACUCUCUGGGGAGGAAGAAAGCUGUCUAACCUGGUGACUCUGGAUGGGGCGUUCAGCAAACAGCAUUUCGUUUCUCAUCAAGUGAUUUCUUCCUAAGAAACCAUCACUGUUAUAAUAGCAAGGUAAUUAGGGAAGCCGUGAGGAGGAUUUGAUGAAUAUCUCUUCCAAUUGCUCCCACCUAACAAGAAUGUGUGUUUCUAUGCCAGAACCGUCAAGAGGUUUAGAUCCCAAAUGGGUGCAGGAGUGGUGGUGUCUUUUAUUACGUGUGAUGUAUCUGCGCGUGGGUGUGUGAGUGUGUAUGUAUAUUUUAGUUGAUUAUUAUAAAUCAAAAGUAAUUGAGUGUAUAUUUAUGCAUAGUUUCCUCACUACUUUGCAGAUCUGUGGGAAGUGUUUAUUGCAAGAGGAUUCAUUUUGUUUCAUUGCAAAUGGGCAUUAAGUACAUACAUGGAAAGAAGCUGUUCAGACAAGAAGGGGUAACCAGAGACUUCCCAGCUGCUGAAGCCUGGAUGCCCUCAAUGACAGGACGAGCUCUGUGAAACAUCAACUCAGAGAACUUCUUAGCUACUGAUAAUGCAUUUUCAGCUACUGAAAAUGUUCACACACAUACAUUAGAGAGAAUGUUUUAAAUAAGGCUAAGCACUGCUUUGCAAACAUAAUUCUAAUUGUGAAUAUCUUUUAAUAUAUUGUCUUUUCCUAUUCAUUGGGAAAAUUCUAUUUUCUCUGCAUUUUUACUGUUGGAAGAAAAAUCCAGAUAUCAUAGAACAGUCUAUAGGCAGUUUGGUGUCAAAAUUAGAUUAUUUGCUCUUUUAAUGUCCUUCUUUUCUUUGUGGCUCCAGCAUCACACAUUUAAUUUGCAAAGGAUUUCAAACAAUAUAAAGAAAAAAUAAAAAGAACUCUAGGAAUGAGUCCCCUGGAAGA
rnacentral:lncRNA from 1 species